GUCCCAGUUCAGAUCGCAGUCUGCAACUCGACUGCGUGAAGUCGGAAUCGCUAGUAAUCGCGGAUCAGCAUGCCGCGGUGAAUACGUUCCCGGGCCUUGUACACACCGCCCGUCACACCAUGAGAGUCGGGAACACCCGAAGCCCGUAGCCUAACAGCAAUGAGGGCGCGGUCGAAGGUGGGUUCGAUAAUUGGGGUGAAGUCGUAACAAGGUAAC
rnacentral:rRNA from 1 species